CCCUGAGAGGCACUUUUCACCUGUUGCUGCCUUCCUGACAACACUGACACCUCACUGGGUUCCACCUGAACAUCUCUUUCGCUGAAACGAAAAGCAACAUGGAUCUACGCAUCGUGGCAGCCCUUCUCCUGUUCUCUCUGGUGGCCCUCAGUAGGUCUGAAGGGGAUGGAAAUGUUGACCCCCAGGAAGACAUGGUGAACGACGGGAGUGAUGAAGGUUCCAGCAUCAUCUCCAAAGAAUUGGACAACAUGAUGGAAGAAUCAAGUGGCCAGGAUGAGCUUCUUCACUUCAACAGUGUGUUAAGUACCGCAGCGUUGGACACAGGCUCUGGCAAUGGCUCAGAUCCUGGGAACUAGUGAACAAGACAAAUCUCUCUUGUCUUAGGAAGCCCUUUUUCUAAGGUGCUGACUCACUGUAUGUACCUGACUAAAAUGCUUAAUCAGUGUCAUAUAAUGGGAAAAUAAUAAAAGUGACAUGGAUUCAAGCUGAUUUUACAUUUGGAUUGUGAAACCUAUUUAAACCGAAAUCUAAUGUUUUCAAUACAAAAAAAAAAUCUGUAUUUACAAUGUUGCAAGUUUAUUAAAAGCAAUUACUGAAA